AUGGAGGACCUACCAGAGGCUCUGCUGACAGAGAUUCUCAAGAGGAUCACCAGGACAAGUGAUCUCAAGUCUGUUACCCUUGUGUCAAAGCAGCUCUGCAAGAUAGAGGGGGGUCAAAGGGGUGCUAUCCGUGUUGGUUCCGGUGUUUGCACUGCUACAAAAGCACUGGCAUCAUUGUGCGCCCGGUUCCCAAAUCUGCGGAAAGUGGAAAUCGAUUACUCUGGCUGGAUACCUGGACAUGGAAAGCAGCUGGACAACAAAGGCCUCUCUGUGUUUUCAUCUCACUGUUCCUCGCUGAUUGACCUCACCUUAAGCUUCUGCUCAUGCAUCGAUGACUCUGGGCUUGCUUGUUUAGCUUAUUGCAAGACAUUGGUGUCUCUCAGGCUCAACUCCGCACCAGAAAUAACGUCAGUUGGGCUUUUGUCGGUUGCAGUUGGUUGCACAAAUCUAUCUGCUCUCCACCUUACUGAUUGCGAGAACAUCGACAAUGUAGAGUGGCUGGAAUACUUUGGUAGGCAUGGAUCGUUACAAGAGCUUGUGGUGAAGAAUUGCAAAGGAAUCAAUCAUCAUGACUUCCUAAAGUUUGGUUCUGGAUGGAUGAAGCUCCAGAAGUUUUGA
rnacentral:rRNA from 1 species